rnacentral:rRNA from 1 species
AUUGAACGCUGGCGGCAUGCCUUACACAUGCAAGUCGAACGGCAACGCGGGCUUCGUGCUGGCCGCGCGUGGCGAACGGGCGAGUAAUUCACCGGAACGUGCCCAGCCUUUAGGACUAGCACGACUAAAGGCGAACUAAUCUCGCACACGACCUUAUGUUGAAAGCGGGGGUUCUUUGGACCACGCCCUUUUUGAUGUCACUUUGACAGAUUAGCUAGUUGGUUGGGUAACGGCCUACCAAGGCGACGAUCUGUAGCAGAUCUGAGAGGCCGACCUGCCACACUGGAACUGAGACACGGCCCAGACUCCUACGGGAGGCAGCAGUGGGGAAUCUUGGACAAUGGGCGAAAGCCUGAUGGAGCAAUGCCGCGUGUGUGAUGAAGGCCUUCGGGUUGUAAAACACUGUUAGCGGGGAAGAAAAGGACUGUAAGAAAACCACGGUUCGAUGACGGUACCCGCAGAAUAAGCACCGGCUAACUACGUG